UAUGUGGAUUAUAAUUGGUUUUGGCAUACUUGGAUAUUGCAAAUAGUUGUAUUCUAUUGGUGGAUUAAAUUCUUAAGUGCAUAUUGAUUGGGGAAUUCUAGUUAUUUGAAUUUCCAUGUUGGAUUGGGCUAUUAGAUCUUUUUCAUAAUUAUUGGACACUUUUGGAUGUGUUAGUUUAAUCUCAAGUUUAAGUUUAUGAUUUGACAAGGGAUCUUUAUUAUUGAGUGGAGACUUUGAUUUUGGAGAUACUUAUUGAAAUUGAAAUGCUUGCUAACUGGGCUCGUAGCCAAAGUGUGGAUUAGCUAUGUUGGGAGUCCUCUCGGUGGACAUUUUAGGUUAUGAUUAAUUGGAUUUUGACCAAAAUUUAGUGAGAGAGAAUU
rnacentral:lncRNA from 1 species